UACGAAGGGGGCUAGCGUUGCUCGGAAUUACUGGGCGUAAAGGGCGCGUAGGCGGGUCGUUUAGUUAGAGGUGAAAGCCCAGGGCUCAACCCUGGAAUUGCCUUUAAUACUGGCGGCCUUGAGUAUGGCAGAGGAGAGUGGAAUUCCCAGUGUAGAGGUGAAAUUCGUAGAUAUUGGGAAGAACACCGGUGGCGAAGGCGGCUCUCUGGACCGAUACUGACGCUGAGGCGCGAAAGCGUGGGGAGCAAACAGG
rnacentral:rRNA from 1 species